rnacentral:rRNA from 1 species
AGAUCGUAGGCUGCAACUCGCCUACGUGAAGGCGGAAUCGCUAGUAAUCGCAGGUCAGCAUACUGCGGUGAAUACGUUCCCGGGCCUUGUACACACCGCCCGUCACACCAUGGAAGUUGGCCACGCCCGAAGCCGUUACUCCAACCCUUGUGGAGGAGGACGUCGAAGGUGGGGCUGAUGACUGGGGUGAAGUCGUAACAAGGUAUCCGUACCGGAAGGUGCGGAUGGAUCACCUCCUAA